rnacentral:misc_RNA from 1 species
AACGCACCUUGCGCUCCUUGGUAUUCCUUGGAGCAUGCCUGUUUGAGUAUCAUGAAAUUCUCAACUCCCAAGUUUUCUUUUAACAAGGAGAACCUGGUGAGCUUGGACUUGGAGGUUUGUGCUGGUUCCUGUUAACUCGGAAUCAGCUCCUCUGAAAUGUAUUAGCGUGAAUCUUACGGAUCGCCUUCAGCGUGAUAAUUGUCUACGUUGUGGCUGUGAAGUAUUUGUGUGAUCACGCUUACAGUCAUCUCGCAAGAGAUAAAACUUUUCAACUUCUGAUCUCAAAUCAGGUAGGACUACCCGCUGAACUUAA